rnacentral:rRNA from 1 species
AUUGAACGCUGGCGGCAGGCCUAACACAUGCAAGUCGAGCGGAUGAGGGAAGCUUGCUUCCCGAUUUAGCGGCGGACGGGUGAGUAAUGCCUAGGAAUCUGCCUAUUAGUGGGGGAUAACGUUCCGAAAGGAACGCUAAUACCGCAUACGUCCUAUGGGAGAAAGUGGGGGAUCUUCGGACCUCACGCUAAUAGAUGAGCCUAGGUCGGAUUAGCUAGUUGGUGGGGUAACGGCUCACCAAGGCGACGAUCCGUAGCUGGUCUGAGAGGAUGAUCAGCCACACUGGAACUGAGACACGGUCCAGACUCCUACGGGAGGCAGCAGUGGGGAAUAUUGGACAAUGGGCGAAAGCCUGGUCCAGCCAUGCCGCGUGUGUGAAGAAGGUCUUCGGAUUGUAAAGCACUUUAAGUUGGGAGGAAGGGUUGUAAGCUAAUAUCUUGCAGCUUUGACGUUACCAACAGAAUAAGCACCGGCUAACUCUGUGCCAGCAGCCGCGGUAACAC